rnacentral:rRNA from 1 species
UUGAACGCUGGCGGCAUGCCUUACACAUGCAAGUCGAACGGCAGCACGGGGGCAACCCUGGUGGCGAGUGGCGAACGGGUGAGUAAUACAUCGGAACGUGUCCUGUAGUGGGGGAUAGCCCGGCGAAAGCCGGAUUAAUACCGCAUACGAUCUACGGAAAGAAAAGCCGGGGGAUCGCCAAGACCUUGGCGCUUAAUAGGGGCGGCCGAUGGCAGAUUAGCUAGUUGGGGUGGGGUAAAGGCCUACCAAGGCGACGAUCUGUAGCUGGUCUGAGAGGACGACCAGCCACACUGGGACUGAGACACGGCCCAGACUCCUACGGGAGGCAGCAGUGGGGAAAUUUUGGACAAUGGGGGAACACCUGCAUCCAGCACAUGCCGCGUGUGUGAAGAAGGCCUUCGGGUUGUAAAGCACUUUUGUCCGGAAAGAACACUUCUGCCCUCAUACGGCGGGAGGAUGACGGUACCGGAAGCAAUAGCACCGG